CGGGUACGUUAAUAGCGUAUUCGUUUGACGUUAGCGACAGAAGAAAGCACCGGCUAACUCCGUGCCAGCAGCCGCGGUAAUACGGAGGGUGCGAGCGUUAAUCGGAAUUACUGGGCGUAAAGCGCAUGCAGGUGGUUUGUUAAGUCAGAUGUGAAAGACCCGGGGCGUCAACCUCGGAAUAGCAUUUGAAACUGGCAGACUAGAGUACUGUAGAGGGGGGUAGGAAUUUCAGGUGUAGCGGUGAAAUAGCGUAGAGAUCUGAAGGAAUACCGGUGGCGAAGGCGGCCCCCUCGGACAGAUACUGACACUCAGAUGCGAAAGCGUGGGGAGCAAACAGGAUUAGAUACCCUGGUAG
rnacentral:rRNA from 1 species